rnacentral:rRNA from 1 species
UGCAGUCGAGCGGCAGCACGGGUACUUGUACCUGGUGGCGAGCGGCGGACGGGUGAGUAAUGCCUAGGAAUCUGCCUGGUAGUGGGGGAUAACGCUCGGAAACGGACGCUAAUACCGCAUACGUCCUACGGGAGAAAGCAGGGGACCUUCGGGCCUUGCGCUAUCAGAUGAGCCUAGGUCGGAUUAGCUAGUUGGUGAGGUAAUGGCUCACCAAGGCUACGAUCCGUAACUGGUCUGAGAGGAUGAUCAGUCACACUGGAACUGAGACACGGUCCAGACUCCUACGGGAGGCAGCAGUGGGGAAUAUUGGACAAUGGGCGAAAGCCUGAUCCAGCCAUGCCGCGUGUGUGAAGAAGGUCUUCGGAUUGUAAAGCACUUUAAGUUGGGAGGAAGGGCAUUUACCUAAUACGUAAGUGUUUUGACGUUACCGACAGAAUAAGCACCGGCUAACUCUGUG